AAAAGAAAAAUUUCUUCAAAAAUUUUUUGAGAGGAUUAAUAUUCAACAGCAUAGUGAAUUGCUCAAAGGCAAAAAAAAUAUUUUAAGUUCAUUAGACCACAUUCAUUCUGUGUCAGAAACCUAUGCUGUGUUAACUAUUUAAUCACAAUCCAAAUUUAGAGCUGAAUCCAGCUUGAAUGUUGUGUCCAUACUUGCCCCAACCGUUCAGGGUUCAACCUCUGCGGUCGUAUAAAGCUGCGCCCUGCGGAGCAUCUGGUUCUUAAUUUAUAAGCAAUAGGUCAAAUAUAUUUGUUGUAUGGAAGAAUUGUUAGUUGUACAUGUCUACCUGGCAUGAUUUAUCUGACCUUGACCUCAUUUUCAUGGUUCAUUGAUCAAUGUUUAGUUUUCUUGGUUAGUGUUAAGUUUAUGUUACAGUUGUAAUAAAGCUUUAUAUUUAGGACUAUCAACAUAAUAU
rnacentral:lncRNA from 1 species